rnacentral:rRNA from 1 species
UACGUAGGGUGCAAGCGUUAAUCGGAAUUACUGGGCGUAAAGCGUGCGCAGGCGGCUUUGUAAGUCUGUCGUGAAAUCCCCGGGCUUAACCUGGGAAUGGCGAUGGAGACUGCAAGGCUAGAGUUUGGCAGAGGGGGGUAGAAUUCCACGUGUAGCAGUGAAAUGCGUAGAGAUGUGGAGGAACACCGAUGGCGAAGGCAGCCCCCUGGGUCAAAACUGACGCUCAUGCACGAAAGCGUGGGGAGCAAGCAGG